rnacentral:rRNA from 1 species
CCUACGGGCGGCAGCAGUAGGGAAUCUUCCACAAUGGGCGCAAGCCUGAUGGAGCAACACCGCGUGAGUGAAGAAGGGUUUCGGCUCGUAAAACUCUGUUGUUGGAGAAGAACGUGCGUAAGAGUAACUGUUUACGCAGUGACGGUAUCCAACCAGAAAGUCACGGCUAACUACGUGCCAGCAGCCGCGGUAAUACGUAGGUGGCAAGCGUUAUCCGGAUUUAUUGGGCGUAAAGCGAGCGCAGGCGGUUGCUUAGGUCUGAUGUGAAAGCCUUCGGCUUAACCGAAGAAGUGCAUCGGAAACAGGGCGACUUGAGUGCAGAAGAGGACAGGGGAACUCCAUGUGUAGCGGUGGAAUGUGUAGAUAUAUGGAAGAACACCAGUGGCGAAGGCGGCUGUCUGGUCUGCAACUGACGCUGAGGCUCGAAAGCAUGGGUAGCGAACAGGAUUAGAUACCCUUGUAGUC